GGAGGGGCUGCGGGACGGCCCGGCCCGGCCUUCGCUCGCGUCCCAGGAGCAGCGCCUUUGUGUCGGCGGAGCCUUUGAUGGCGCUGCUCGCUCUCACGCCAUGACCGAGCUUUUUAAAAACGGCCUCUCGGCCUCGGAGAGAAGGGCCUCCAAAUUCCGUUAAGAGGCAGCCCCCGAUGGUCCGCGGAGUCCUUCGGCGAUGCCGACGACGACGAUUUUGACCCUGACAUUCAUUUGGUUUUAAAAAGCGCCAGACGCUAUUCUAAGCACUUCGGAUGUACUAAUUCUUUACUCUGCAUCCCAAGCUCGGUGUGUGCUGUGGCAUUUUUACCUUCUUAGUCUAGAUGAGGAGAGGAAGACACAGAGAAUCCAAGGGGACACGGAACGACUGGCUGGGGUGGCUGGGAUCACAAUCCAGACGGCUAGCUCCAGAGUCAAUACUCAAUAACUUCUGGAAGGAGGUCUUGCAACUUUUUUUUGUUUUGUUUUGUUUUGUUUUGGGUCCACCUAUGCAUUGCCAUGGUUUUGAUUUUGAUUUUAUUUUGAUCCCUGAAAUAAAGAACAUUUCUCAAGCCCAUGCUCUUCUCCAACCGGGAGCUGGCUCUCUAGGAAAUCUUGUAACAAAGCAAAAAUUCACAGGUCAGAGGAACAAGGAACUUCAUUAAGUUCUUCCUUAUUAAUGAUUUCCUACACUUUGUAGGACGCAGGCUCUCCCCCCGGGUUUUAAUGAAGGGUUGUUCAAUUGAAAUGGGCUAUGUCCCUCCUAUGAAAAGCACGUGCCAUUUCUAGGCAUUACAGGGAGAGAGAACACAUAACUCGUGCAUCAGGACUACCUCCUACUAAUCAUGAACUUGGGUUAUUGGCUUUGAAGUUGGAUGGACUUGGAUUUGAAUUUCACCUAUUUCACUCCAUACUUCUGAGACCUUGAGAAAAUUGCUUGAUCUCUCUGGACCUCAGCUUGUUCGUCUAUCAAAUGUGAGAAAAUGCAGUGCAGAGUUGCUGUGAAGCAUUUCCUUUGGAUCACAGAUUCUUCCUUUGACUACAUAAGCAACAGCUGUCUAGCUGCCUGCACAAGACUGGAUCUAAUGCCUCUACAGAAAUCUAGGUCAAAACACUUGGAAUGCAUGAAUAUCAAACAGAGUUUUCAAAACAGCAAAUGAAUACAUCUUUAACUGGUGACAUUUUCCUGUAGCAUAUGGCUGCAAGCUCAGGGGACUGGAUGCUUUUUUGAUGAAUAUGUUCCAUCAAAAACUAGGGGAUGGCAGUAGGCUUUUGCCACCUUCUGUUUUGCCUUAUGAAAUGAUAAUACAAAUGCAUAGAUAGAUACAAUGAUCACAAGGCUUUUACCUUCAGACCUAUUCUAAAGAUGCAUUUUCCCGUUUGGAUGAGUUGCUUUGUCUUUGACUAGGUUUAGGUUUAUACAUGACUGUCAAAGGUGACAACCAGUGGGAGCAGUUGUCUUUCUUGGGCAGAAUUUGAUUGGUGGAAAUCUUAAAAAAAUUUGAACUGAAAAGUAAAUAUUUACCAAAGAGAGGAAUUGGGGAGCUUGGUCACAUGAGUAACUUACAGCCACAACAGCAAAAUGUUGAUCCAAAUCCCUUGUCAAAUGUCAAUAUUGAGAGGCUGGUUAAUCAUUUACCAAUUUGAGAGGCUGGCUCCCUAGUCCUGAAUCUGCCACCAGUAAUUACAGUGUGACCUUGGACAUAUCCUUUCAUCUCUGUGACUUCACUGUCCUUCUAUUUUAUGAAAUGAGAGGACAGGACUACAUUUUCUGUAUGGUCUUUCCUAGCCCUAAACUUCCAGGGUUUUAAGUUCAUGAAGUUUAUGAAGCUGUUUCAUUGUUAAUUGCAUCAUGUCUAUUGAAGCAGUAACAGAGAAGAAUAUGCUUUGAUACCUUUCUUUAGUUGACUGAAGAUUUAUUUCUUAAAAAGAAAAAUUAUUUAGAAUCCCCCUCAUCCCUAUUAGUAACAGAAGACAAUAGCGAAACUGUGCUGGUUAAGCAGGGGAGGGAAGUGGGAAGCACCCUUGGCCCCUACCCACCCCCAGACACACACACACUUCUCAGGGCAGCAUCUGAAACCUGUAUGAGGAAAGCCUGGCUCUCCACCAAUCCCAGUGUGAAAAUCAGUGGCUGAGAAAAUGAGCCUGUGGGGGUGUUCUGUUUGUAAUGGCAGUGAUGGAGGAAAGAAGUAUUGGAAACUGAAUUUUUCUCUUUUUGCAUUCAGCAAAUUUGUACUAAGUAAACAAUGCAUUUCAGUUUCAAGUUAAGCUUUAAGUCCAAUGUUCUGCUCUUCGUUUGGCUUCAGUUUACAAAACCACCAGCAGAACUUGUGAGUAUCACAAGACUUUACAAGUGGGCCUUUGUAUUCACAAAGUUGACUAGUCACUUUUCUCAAUUUGGUGGUGCCCCAACAAUAUUCUUGAAAUCACAUUUGGAAAAAUACUCCUUACUUUCAAAUAACUAGAGGAGAUUUCUUCCUACUUCCAGACUCACCUUGUUCCACACCGAAUCUUGUGACAAGCCUUUCUGAGAAGUCUAUGCAUAUAAACUUGCAAGUGCUCAUAUGUUUGCGUGUAUGUGUAUGUGUAUAUGUGUUCCUUUUUGGUGAAGUGAUAGUGUAUGGUACAUACAUAAAAGCAUUUUGAUUUAAGUUUAAUAAUAUGUCUUAAAUAUCAUACUUUAACAUUAACGUGUAAUCUAUAUCUUUGUAAAUGCUUCACAGUCUUUACUGUGGAUGUACAAAAAUUUUUAUACCAAUUCAUCUUAAAGGGCAUUUACAUGGUUGUACUUUUUUUGUCUUAUUUUCUUACAAAGUACCAAUGAAUAUCCAUGUAGUUGAGUAUUUAUAAAUAAAUGUGAUAACCUAAUCUCCCAGAAAUAAUAUUGUUGGAUUGGGAGAUAUCUGCACACUUAAUUUAGGUGUAGAGUGCCAAAUAACAUUUAACUACAUUAUUAUUUUCAGUUUGUUAAAUUGUGACUGUAGUUGAAUAUCUUUUCGUAUGUUUAAAAAUUACUUAUAUGUAAAACUCUGUUCAUAUUCUUUGUCCAUAAAUGGAGUUAGGACAACUUAGUAGCCAUCUGGAAAAAAAAAUAAAAUUGUAUUCCUACUUUAUUUCCAACACCAAAAUAAACUCCAGAUGGACCAAAGAUUUUACACUAAAAAUAAAUGCAUUAAAGUACUAUUAGAAAACAUGAGAAGAUGUUUUUUGUAAGUAAUCCCAAACUAAGAAAGGUCUUUCUAAGCAUAAUAGAAAACCUCAAGGAAUGAUUCUAAAGAUGUAUAAAUUAAUAAAUCAAUAUAUAUUGAAAAAAAUAAAAAAUGAAUGACAAAGUUACAAAAAUAAGAAUAACACAUGACAACAGUUGAUAGUUUUCAAUGAUUUGUAGCUUUAAAAUGUUGUGCCAUCAAGGCUGAGGUUGUAGAGAAUUGAAAGAGUUCAUUACUCUCACCACAACAAGCAAAAUAAACUGGAUAGACUACAAAAUCAUAGUUUAUUUUAAAAACAUCAGAGAAACAAGAACACAAAGAAAGUUAAAUUAAUUCUAAGGCAAAGAUCCCUUGAUGGAUUACAAUAGACCAACAGCUGCUGUCAUCCCUGGUGGAGCUCAGGAGAAUGAGGACAGGCCAUAGAAAAGAGUAAGGAGAAACCAGUUUAAGUUUAAUGGUCUUUUAAUGGCUCUAAGUGGGCUGGCAUGACAGAUUAGAAUUCCACAGUGCAUUAGCCUCAUAACAGGUUUGCCCCCAUCCCCCAAUUCUUGUUGCAUCUUCACUGACUACUUACAGGUGCUUCACUGAAAGCUGGUGACAUCCGAGGGGAGCUGAAAGUGAUCUCUGCUGAUCAGAAGAAAUGAGAGACACUGAUGAAGAGAUACAGCUCUUCCCAGAGAGAGCAAGGCAGCCACCACACACACACUGACAUAUGUACAUGUCAAUGAAUAACAUAUUGUGGGAUUUUGCUGGGUUUAAACUUUAUAAAAGGAAUGUAUCGGUCUGUAAGUAGUCUUCUGGAAUUUUCACUUAAAUUAUACCAAGAGUCAUUCAUAAUAUUAAGUGUGGCUGUGUUCCAUUGCAUUUUAUUUCACUUCAUUUAUCCUCUCUGCAAUUCUUUGUGUAACUAUACCUCAAUGUUUUUAUCCAUUUGCUUGUUGAUGAACCCUUACAUUGUUUCUGGAUGACUAAAGUGAUGCAGUAAGCAUUCUUGUACAUAUAUGCAAAAGUUUCUGUUUUGUCUGUACCUUAGUGAGGAAAAUCUGGGGUAAGUAUUCAACUUUAUAAGAUAAUGCCAAAUUAUUUCCCGAGUUUGUCAUAGCAGUUUACACUACCAAGAGCAAAGUCCAAGAUUACAUUGAGUCACAUCCUCUCCAACUCUUGGUAUUAUUAAGAAUUCUUAAUUAUUACGAUAUGAAUAAUUGUCAACAACUAUCAUAAUUGGUGUUUAUACCUCCCUGAUUAAUGAUGUUGAUGCUGUGAUGUAGAGGGUUUUGUCAUGUGUUUGCUGGACAUACAGAUUUUCUUUUCUGUGAAAUGUCCCUCAUGUCUUCUGCCUAUUUUUCUACUGAACUUCCUUUUUCUUAACAAUUUAUAAGAGUUUUAACCUCUUAAAAUAUAGUAUUGAAAGCAUCUUCUAUUUUUAUUUUCAUUUUUCUUGACUAACAGCCUCUAUUCUCAAUGAUCUGACAUAUAUUUCUAUUACAUAUUAAAAUUCUUUGUAUGCAUGGGCUAUUCUGGUUUAAUAUUUACUCCACUGGUCAAUUUCUCUUAAUUGCUAUAGCUCUACAAUAUGUUUUAUAGCUCUAACAUAGCUAUAGAAUAUAUUUUUCAUAUGUUUUAAUAUCUGAUAGGGGACAACUCUCUCACCUUUUCUCCCUCAGAAAAUAUUGGUGGUAAACAAUCCCUUGUUUUUCAUAUAAAAUUUUGAAGGAACUUGUCAAAUUUCCUGAAGAAGUCUAUUGGAAAUUUGAUUGGGAUUGCAUCAAAAAAAUUGAUCAAUUUGAGGAGAUUUGAUCUCUGAAAGAUAUUUUUUCUUUUCAUGAAUAUGUGCAACUUCUCCAUUUAUUUAAUGAAUUUCACUGAAUUUUUUUU